rnacentral:lncRNA from 1 species
CUAUGACGUGUUUUCAAAAUCUUGAUGAGCACAACUACCCUAUUUUGAAGUCUUUGGUGCAGAUCCUGCUUACUUUACCAAUAUCAAUAGCAACAGCAGAGAGAUCAUUUUCUACGCUGAGGCGAUUGAAAAGCUGGAUGAGGACCAGAAUGACCGAAGACCGCCUGACCGGACUGGCUCUCAUGAAUGUUCACAGGGAUAUAGAAGUGGACAUCAAUAAAAUUAUCGAUCGAUAUUCCAGCAAGAAGAAUAGAAAACUGGAUUUUGUAAUUUAAGGGAAAACAACGUAGUUUUUGUUAAGCCAAAGUAUUUUUGUUUUGUUUUAUAAUUUACUUCUAAUGUCAGUAAUUAAAUCAUACUAAACAUAA